rnacentral:lncRNA from 1 species
UAGAUUAAAAAUGAUUUACGUGACGUCAUCUACUGUAAUGGAGUAAUUUUGAACAAUCCGGGUUUAUGGAACCUCUACGAUUUAUUAUUUGAGCGAGCAACCAUGUUAGACGGGCUUAUUAUAGAGUUAAACGCUAUUUACUUACGUUUUGAUGCUGCGUUGACUUCUUGUCAAUCGUACGGUUGGAUACAUCAAACCUUCAAAACAAUUUUACGCAAAUGCACCUUUUAAAAUGAUUUUUUAAAAUACAUAUACAUACGUUUUUCUAUUUUCUUACUGAAUGCAAUAUUGUAAACUAAACACAUUUAUUUAAUCUUGUAUUUUUAUGUAUGCACUUAUUUAGUCAUUAAUUUUUUAAGUUACAAUAUAGUAAA